AACGAACGCUGGCGGCAUGCCUAACACAUGCAAGUCGAACGAGACCUUCGGGUCUAGUGGCGCACGGGUGCGUAACGCGUGGGAACCUGCCCUUAGGUUCGGAAUAACUCCCCGAAAGGGGUGCUAAUACCGGAUAAUGUCUUCGGACCAAAGAUUUAUCGCCUUUGGAUGGGCCCGCGUUGGAUUAGCUAGUUGGUAGGGUAAAAGCCUACCAAGGCGACGAUCCAUAGCUGGUCUGAGAGGAUGAUCAGCCACACUGGGACUGAGACACGGCCCAGACUCCUACGGGAGGCAGCAGUGGUGAAUAUUGGACAAUGGGCGAAAGCCUGAGCCAGCAAUGCCGCGUGAGUGAUGAAGGCCUUAGGGUUGUAAAGCUCUUUUACCCGGGAUGAUAAUGACAGUACCGGGAGAAUAAGCUCCGGCUAACUCCGUG
rnacentral:rRNA from 1 species